rnacentral:rRNA from 1 species
GACGAACGCUGGCGGCGUGCCUAAUACAUGCAAGUAGAACGCAUAGACUAUACCGUAGCUUGCUUCACCAUAGACUGUGAGAUGCGAAGGGGCUAGUAACGCGUAGUUAAUCUGCCUGGUAGCGGGUGUUAAGUUUGGGCUACUGAACCUACUACCAUUUAUUAUUUAUUCUUCCUCACUAUUUCAGCGAAAGCUUCAUUUUCAUCACUACCAAAUGUUUCUGUGUUGUAUUAGUUAGUAGGAGAGGUAACGGCUCACCAAGGCGACGAUACAUAGCCGACCUGAGAGGGGGAUCGGCCACAAUGGGACUGAGACACGGCCCAGACCCCUACGGGAGGCAGCAGUAGGGGAUCGUCGGCAAUGGACGAAAGUCUGACCGAGCAACGCCGCGUGAGUGAAGAAGGGUUUCGGAUCGUAAAGCUCUGUUGUAAGAGAAGAACGGGUGUGAGAGUGGAAAGUUCACACUGUGACGGUAUCUUACCAGAAAGGGACGGCUAACUACGUG